rnacentral:rRNA from 1 species
AGUGAACGCUGGCGGCAGGCCUAACACAUGCAAGUCGAACGGCAGCACAGGAGAGCUUGCUCUCUGGGUGGCGAGUGGCGGACGGGUGAGGAAUACAUCGGAAUCUACCUUGUCGUGGGGGAUAACGUAGGGAAACUUACGCUAAUACCGCAUACGACCUUCGGGUGAAAGCAGGGGACCUUCGGGCCUUGCGCGAUUAGAUGAGCCGAUGUCGGAUUAGCUAGUUGGCGGGGUAAAGCCCCACCAAGGCGACGAUCCGUAGCUGGUCUGAGAGGAAGAUCAGCCACACUGGAACGGAGACACGUGCCAGACUCCUACGGGAGGGAGCAGUGGGGAAUAUUGGACAAUGGGCGCAAGCCUGAUCCAGCCAUGCCGCGUGGGUGAAGAAGGCCUUCGGGUUGUAAAGCCCUUUUGUUGGGAAAGAAAAGCAGUCGGCCAAUACCCGAUUGUUCUGACGGUACCCAAAGAAUAAGCACCGGCUAACUUCGUGCCAGCCGCCGCCGUAACAC